rnacentral:lncRNA from 1 species
GCCCCCUUAGCACAUUGUCUUAUAUUUAUCUUUAUCAUUAAUGCACCUCCAACAUAAAAAGGGUGAACUCCACGUGCCCAAUUUUUUCGAGAAUAAAUAUCUAAAUUAACCUCUCAAUUAUUUAUUGUGGUUUAAAAGUAUCCUGAAUUUAUCCCGUUAAGGAGUCGAGGGAAAAAACGAUUGCUUUUUCCAAUUUAGGAUGUAACAUUAUACCAAAAGUCAAACAUAUUGUAUAUGUAUAGGGCUGAAUUUGGCUCAUCACGUCCCCACGACAGGUGGGCACGUCUUUCAUAAUAAGGGCAAUUCAAGCACGGGUGCGGCCCAAACCGAGAACGACGUCGUUUAGUACCUGUCUUGCCUUACUGAAUGGAAACCACCAAACUUUGUACUUUUUUUAUUAUUAUUUGUCAUUAUUUAUUUAUUCGAGAAAGGUUUCCUACGCUAUAAAGGAAACUUUCUCUUUGUAAAUUUGUAAAAGGGCAUUGAUCUUAUUCUCUAGUAAUACAAUCUCUCUCUCUCAAGUUCACAACUAUUGCUUAACUCUUAAGUUAAGUUUACCUUUAUCAUCUAUU